GAGUUUGAUCGUGGCUCAGGAUGAACGCUGGCGGCGUGCCUAAUACAUGCAAGUCGAGCGAACAGACGAGGAGCUUGCUCCUCUGACGUUAGCGGCGGACGGGUGAGUAACACGUGGAUAACCUACCUAUAAGACUGGGAUAACUUCGGGAAACCGGAGCUAAUACCGAAUAAUAUAUUGAACCGCAUGGUUCAAUAGUGAAAAACGGUUUUGCUGUCACUUAUAGAUGGAUCCGCGCCGCAUUAGCUAGUUGGUAGGGUAACGGCUUACCAAGGCGACGAUGCGUAGCCGACCUGAGAGGGUGAUCGGCCACACUGGAACUGAGACACGGUCCAGACUCCUACGGGAGCAGCAGUAGGGAAUCUUCCGCAAUGGGCGAAAGCCUGACGGAGCAACGCCGCGUGAGUGAUGAAGUCGUUCGGAUCGUAAAACUCUGUUAUUAGGGAAGAACAAAUGUGUAAGUAACUAUGCACGUCUUGACGGUACCUAAUCAGAAAGCCACGGCUAACUACGUG
rnacentral:rRNA from 1 species